UGGAGAAAGAUGGUUAAUCUCUCAACUUAUGAAAAAAAUAAAAUAAAAUAAGACAGUAUGUGCAUUAGAAUGUGACACUCCAGCUUUUUGUCUCCAUGAAGUCAGGGGACUAUUUGAAUAAUUUUUCUAGGACAGUGUUUUACUGGCAUCUGAAAAACAAGAAGUGAAUUCCUAACAUUAGGGAAAAGAAAAUUGAGGAUGAAGGAGAACAGCUUAUUGACAAAGAUUAAAUCCCUUGUAGAGUUUUCCCUUAAUCAUCCAUAAAAGCCUAAAGUAUUUCUUUGAUUG
rnacentral:misc_RNA from 1 species